rnacentral:rRNA from 1 species
GAUACGACCGUACCGCAAACCGACACUGGUGCGCGAGAUGAGUAUUCUAAGGCGCUUGAGAGAACUCAGGAGAAGGAACUCGGCAAAUUGACACCGUAACUUCGGAAGAAGGUGUGCCCUAUUAGUGUGUAGUGAACAACGAAGCAUGAAUGGGUUGCAAAAAAUCGGUGGCUGCGACUGUUUAUUAAAACACAGCACUCUGCAAACACGAAAGUGGACGUAUAGGGUGUGACGCCUGCCCGGUGCUGGAAGAUUAAAUGAUGGGGUGCAAGCUCUUGAUUGAAGUCCCAGUAAACGGCGGCCGUAACGAUAACGGUCCUAAGGUAGCGAAAUUCCUUGUCGGGUAAGUUCCGACCUGCACGAAUGGCGUAACGAUGGCCACACUGUCUCCUCCUGAGACUCAGCGAAGUUGAAAUGUUUGUGAUGAUGCAAUCUCCCCGCGGAAAGACGGAAAGACCCCAUGAACCUUUACUGUAGCUUUGUAUUGGACUUUGAACAGAUCUGUGUAGGAUAGGUGGGAGGCUUUGAAGCAGGGUCGCUAGAUCUUGUGGAGCCAACGUUGAAAUACCACCCUGGUGAGUUUGAGGUUCUAACCUAGGUCCAUUAUCUGGAUCGGGGACAGUGCAUGGUAGGCAGUUUGACUGGGGCGGUCUCCUCCCAAAGCGUAACGGAGGAGUUCGGAGGUACGCUAGUUACGGUCGGACAUCGUGACGAUAGUGCAAUGGCAUAAGCGUGCUUAACUGCGAGACUGACAAGUCGAGCAGAUGCGAAAGCAGGACAUAGUGAUCCGGUGGUUCUGUAUGGAAGGGCCAUCGCUCAACGGAUAAAAGGUACUCUGGGGAUAACAGGCUGAUACCGCCCAAGAGUUCAUAUCGACGGCGGUGUUUGGCACCUCGAUGUCGGCUCAUCUCAUCCUGGGGCUAUAGCCGGUCCCAAGGGUAUGGCUGUUCGCCGUUUAAAGAGGUACGUGAGCUGGGUUUAAAACGUCGUGAGACAGUUUGGUCCCUAUCUUCCGUGGGCGCUGCAGAUUUGAGGAAGCCUGCUCCUAGUACGAGAGGACCGGAGUGGACACACCUCUGGUGUAUCGGUUGUCACGCCAGUGGCAUUGCCGAGUAGCUAAGUGUGGAAGAGAUAACCGCUGAAAGCAUCUAAGCGGGAAACUCGUUUCAAGAUGAGAUCUGCCGGGGCCUUGAGCCCCCUAAAGAGUCGUUCAAGACCAGGACGUUGAUAGGUCAGGUGUGGAAGCG